UUGUCCCUGUGGGGCUGGCAGCUUACUCUAUAAAGAGCCAUCAAUAAAUAAAACAGGGAGCCCGUCUCUGAACGCGUAUUACAGGCCACCUCGAUGUGGAAGUAAAAAGCGCUUAGGAGGGCACCCACCGUGUGUAAACACGGUUCUUUAUAGCUUUGCUGGCCUACAGGGAUUUU
rnacentral:other from 1 species